CGUGAACAUAGCAGACUGCUCAGUAACACGUGGAUAACCUGCCCUUAGGACUGGCAUAACUCCGGGAAACUGGGGAUAAUUCCGGAUAGAUCAUAAAUGCUGGAAUGCUUUAUGAUUGAAAGGUUUCGACCGCCUUAGGAUGGAUCUGCGGCCUAUCAGGUUGUAGUGGGUGUAAUGUACCUACUAGCCUACGACGGGUACGGGUUGUGGAAGCAAGAGCCCGGAGAUGGAUUCUGAGACAUGAAUCCAGGCCCUACGGGGCGCAGCAGGCGCGAAAACUUUACAAUGCGGGAAACCGUGAUAAGGGAACACUGAGUGCUAGCAUUUAUGUUAGCUGUCCACAUGUGUAAAUAGCAUGUGAUAGCAAGGGCUGGGCAAGACCGGUGCCAGCCGCCGCGGUAACACCGGCAGCCCGAGUGGUGAUCACUAUUAUUGGGUCUAAAGGGUCCGUAGCCGGUUUAAUCAGUCUUCUGGGAAAUCUAAUCGCUUAACUAUUAGGCUUCCAGGGGAUACUGUUAGACUUGGGACCGGGAGAGGUAAGAGGUACUGCAGGGGUAGGAGUGAAAUCUUGUAAUCCCUGUGAGACCACCAGUGGCGAAGGCGUCUUACCAGAACGGGUCCGACGGUGAGGGACGAAAGCUGGGGGCACGAACCGGAUUAGAUACCCGGGUAGUCCCAGCUGUAAACGAUGCUCGUUAGGUGUCAGGAACGGUGCGACUGUUUCUGGUGCCGAAGGGAAGCCGUGAAACGAGCCACCUGGGAAA
rnacentral:rRNA from 1 species